ensembl:lncRNA
CUCACCGCAAGUUGAGAGAGGGAUGUCUCUUUUUGCCGGGAAACGGAACCACUGCUUAUUUUUCAAGUCAAGUCUCCCCAGUCUCCACAUCCUCAACGUUCAUGCUGGUCUUCCUGCUGAAAUCAUCGAUCAAUUCCAGUCUUGGGCUCACUCUCCCACGACGCUGCACGGCGGCAUGCGGGGCCACAUCUUAUUCACCUGUUGUUACAGCUGACAUUGUUAUCAAGUAAAGUAGUUCACGCGCUGCCUUUUUUCCGGUAUAAGCUUCAAAAGAGGUUACUAGCUCGUUUCCCAGAGAUGUCCUCAUAGCCAAACAUUUUGCAGCCACUUUCUCAUAAGACCAAAGAAAAACAAAGUUGAAGUUAGUAUUUGUUUCAACUAAGUACCAUGGGAAAUACAGAAACGACCGUCUGACUGUCCGUCUGCCGACAUUACAAGUAGCCCAUUACAUCACGUGGAGUCCAUGUCCUCAGGAGAAGGAUUGAAAACUGUUCCAAGGUCCCAACUUGCGCUCCACAAUGGUCUGGGGGCUGAGAGCCACAUUGUGGCGGGGCUAGUGACAGGCUGUCAGUCUGCUCGCCGCGCAGCAACAAGAGGAAGCAAGAGGCUGCGAGAAAACCCCCCGAAGACACGAUGACUCCGGCGCUGCCACCGCUGGACUCUUUGAAUGGAAGGAGAGAUACUGUGAGGAGAAGUAUUGUGGAAUACCUUCCCCGCCGCACACUCUUCAAGGGUCGUGUGCGUGUCCCCCUUUGGGUCAAACGGAGUCCAAAGCCGUCGAGGGCCAGCUCGUUCCGAGUGCUGAGUGGUGGACGCGGCGGCACCAGGUGUUUACCUGCCCUGCUAUGAAGUCUGGUCAUUACCGGAUCCAGCUUAUGAUUAUUGAUUAUCUUCCUGGUUCACGUCAGGCUUUAGUCCUCGCCGCUCUUUUGUUGUUUGGAUAGGAGAAAAAAAAAAAACAGGGGACAUUGUGUCGGUGAAUAGGCUGGCAGCCGGGCCAAACAAGGUCAGAGCAUCAGAGUACUGAACCGCGCUUUUAUAUGCCAAGAUCUGCUCCGGAGGAUGAAUUUGAAACGAGCCCCUUUGUAUCUAUGCGGGAAUAUUCAGCGCGAGACAAUGGCCGCCUGUUCUCCUCACUAAUGAGUGGACAAGGUGAGAGUCCCAGCCAGAAAGGUGGACAUCUGUGGUUAUUCAGCCCUCACGGCGGCAGAAUAGGAUCCUUUCCUUACAAGGAUUAUCAGGAUUAUCAGCACACACUAACACACACAGGGUUUCAAUGGGCCAGUCACGGUGAUAAGGGGUGACAUAAGAGCCCAGAUAAAGAUAAAUGCCUGGGCUUAGUUUUUUGUGUUAAUUAUGUAAUAAAGACAUGAAUGAAAAAAG